GCCGGCGUAACUCAGUGGUAGAGUGCGACACUAGUAAUGUCGAUGUCAUGGGUUCAAUUCCCAUCGUUGGCU
rnacentral:tRNA from 1 species